rnacentral:rRNA from 1 species
AAUUCGGACGGGGCCCGCACAAGCAGCGGAGCGUGUGGUUAAUCGAUGAUACACGAAGAACCUUACCCAGGCUUGACAUGCAGGUAUCGGGGUUUAUGAAAGUACGGCCCCACCUCGGGAGGCCUGCACAGGUGCUGCAUGGCUGUCGUCAGCUCGUGUCGUGAGAUGUCCGGUUAAGUCCGGUAACGAGCGCAACCCUCGCUGUAUGUUAUAUGUGUCAUACGGGACUGCCGGUAUCAAGCCGGAGGAAGGUGGGAUGACGUCAAGUCAGCAUGGCCUUUAUGUCUGGGGCUACACACACGCUACAAUGGCCAGUACAAUAGGUUGCAAGACCGCGAGGUGGAGCCAAUCCUAAAAGCUGGUCUCAGUUCGGAUUGCAGGCUGCAACUCGCCUGCAUGAAGUCGGAGUUGCUAGUAACCGCGCGUCAGCUAUAGUGCGGUGAAUACGUUCCCGGGCCUU